UAAUAAAAAAUGACAACUCAUAAAUUCACCGCACACUGAGAAUAAUUUCGAAAACAAGUUCGAAAAUUCUGCAAUGCAUAUUUGCUUAUAAAGUUUAUAAAAUUAUAAUCUGCUCUAUAAUUCUACAAAAACAUUAUAAUUGUAUAAUAUUUUAUAAUUUAUUGGAAGUGUCACGCCCUAGAUUGUACCUCAAAGAUCGCCCUUCAACCAUGAAUUUACAAUGCUAGCUGCUUUUAAAAAUUAAAUUUAAUUUUUAUUCAUGUCUUUCUUAACAAUACACGUAGCUAUGUCGUCAUUUAGGACUUUUAUUCAAUUUGCAUGAAAUGUUGAUGUGUGUGAAAAGUAGCCAGAAUAGAUUCAGCAGCACUGUUUUCCAUCCCGUUUGUAAAUAUAAUGAACGCUCAUGACUGGCAAAACGACCAAUCAGAAACUGGUUCAAUAUUGAGGUUAGGGCUGGAUCAAACAAGAUUCGCGAUUGUCUUCUCUUCUCUGAGCUUUACAUAAGUAAACAACGCCUUUGCCCUAUAUUUAUUUAUAAUUGUUUAUAAAAGUUAUAACCACAGAGAACAGACGUCCAUCUUCAGCAUUCAACUUGUGUAAAAAUCUCUAACGGUUUCGAAGGUAGUUGGGAUAUCCAAACCAGGAGCGCUACUGUCGUCAUGUUUUUUGUGGCUGAGUUCGACAGAAUUGACAUCGGUUACUCCUCUACCCAGUCAAACUAGUCCGGAACCGGUUCGGAUUUCCAGCUCAAAUGCAUGAACCGAUAGAGUCGGAAUCGGUUGUUUUCUUUGAGCAAGAUUCCAUACUGAAUUCAUUCAGGAUUUCGAACAGGUUCCGGAAUGGAUUUGGCGGAUAGUUGGGAUAAGUUGGUUUGGCGGCGCUAGUGUUUAUCGUAUAUUAAUUCAAAUGUUUACACACGUUUUUUAAAUAUUUUUGUUCGUUCAUGGAUGUCUGUUCUCUGUGAUUCAAGCAACGAUUCUGCCAUAGGAUUUGAGGCCAAUUCAAAAACAGCAACUAGUUUAAACGAUUCAAGCCGAUCAGGGUCGAACCAAAUACAAAUAUGUAUUUGGUCGAACGGAGAACGUCACUUUCAGAUCAAAUUGGCCGCAAAUCGCUCAACAUCAGUAACAGGACAAAAUCUGUCAACCGCAAAUACAACAGCAAAGGGUUUUUUCUUUCGAACAAAAAAGUGCUUAUCCUCGGUUCUCUGGCACGUUACUGGGAAAAUCCGCGGCCUAAUCUGUAAAUUGUCCUCACCAUGAAACUGAACAAGAGCCAGGAAGAAGUCCUCCAGGCAGGCGACACGCUAGAGUUAAUGUUAGUAAAAUCGCAGAUCACGCUCACGGAGAUCGUUCCGAAAGUUCUGCGAGCCAAAUCCCCUAGCCCAACCUUGAGUUUAAUUUACUUAAAUU